rnacentral:rRNA from 1 species
UACGUAGGUGGCGAGCGUUAUCCGGAAUUAUUGGGCGUAAAGAGCGCGCAGGUGGUUGAUUAAGUCUGAUGUGAAAGCCCACGGCUUAACCGUGGAGGGUCAUUGGAAACUGGUCAACUUGAGUGCAGGAGAGGAGAGUGGAAUUCCUAGUGUAGCGGUGAAAUGCGUAGAUAUUAGGAGGAACACCAGUAGCGAAGGCGGCUCUCUGGACUGUAACUGACGCUGAGGCACGAAAGCGUGGGGAGCAAACAGGAUUAGAUA